rnacentral:rRNA from 1 species
UACGGGGGGGGCAAGCGUUGUUCGGAAUUACUGGGCGUAAAGGGCUCGUAGGCGGCCAACUAAGUCAGACGUGAAAUCCCUCGGCUUAACCGGGGAACUGCGUCUGAUACUGGAUGGCUUGAGAUUGGGAGAGGGAUGCGGAAUUCCAGGUGUAGCGGUGAAAUGCGUAGAUAUCUGGAAGAACACCAAUGGCGAAGGCAGCUCGCUGGGACGGUACUGACGCUGAGGCGCGAAGGCGUGGGGAGCAAACAGG